GUAACAAGUUUCCGUAGGUGAACCUGCGGAAGGAUCAUUA
rnacentral:rRNA from 1 species